UACGUAGGGGGCUAGCGUUGUCCGGAAUCAUUGGGCGUAAAGAGCGUGUAGGCGGCCUCGGUAAGUCCGCUGUGAAAGUCGGGGGCUCAACCCUCGAAUGCCGGUGGAUACUGUCGGGCUAGAGUGCGGAAGAGGCGAGUGGAAUUCCUGGUGUAGCGGUGAAAUGCGCAGAUAUCAGGAGGAACACCAAUUGCGAAGGCAGCUCGCUGGGACGUAACUGACGCUGAGACGCGAAAGCGUGGGGAGCAAACAGG
rnacentral:rRNA from 1 species